rnacentral:lncRNA from 1 species
UUUAUUAGAUGAAACAAAAAGAAAAUAAAAAUGAAAAGAAAAAGAGAAGACCAUGUAGUUCAAAUGCUCUAGUCAGAAAUUAUAAAUCCAUGAAAAGAUUGCCCCGGUAUAAUUUGGAAAUUAACACAAAAUUGAGUCAAUAGGAUGACCCAUCAUUCAGAAGUUCACAAAGUGUGAGGCAUAUGAAGUCUUGGUCAACUACACUAGGGCUUUAGCCAUCAUAUUCUUCAUUUUUCCGAUCGGAUCUUGCAGCAAUUGAGGAAAGUUUCAAUCCCCUUAAGCAGGUUAAAGAGCGACACUGCAGACUCAGCAUCAGCAAAUAACUUAGGGAUGACUUCAAUGGCUUCAUUGGUAAGGGAAACUAGCUGUGAGAGGCUUCACUUUCAAUUCUCCCUUGUUCAGCAACAUGUUCCUUUAUUUGAAUUAUCAAUUCUUGAUGUCUCCUUUUUAGCAUGACGCUAACCUUUCCUCUUUUGUUUGGCCACUGCUGCUUUCACACGUUGUUCAACAUUGUGAAAUUACUUUUCAUCAUUUGGGUCAGGAGAAAUUAACUUGGAUGACAACUUGACUGUAUUAACCCUCGUUGUGAUCAAUCUGGCUGAGAGAANUCUUUCAUUAACGGUCCAUGAUCUUAGGCCUCUCUUCGAACUCUGUAGCUCNCCCUUUGUUCAACAACAUACUUUUUCUGCUGAAUCACCAACCUUUUGAUGCCUUCUUUUUUAGCUCAACGAUGUCGUUCCUCCUUCAGUUUUGCCACUACUGCUCUCACCCGCUGCUUAGCAUUAUGAACUUGUUUUUCGCAGUUUAGGUAAGGAGAAAGUAACUUGAAUGGCAACUUGAUUGUCUUAACCCUUUUCUUGAUCAAUUUGGCUAAGGGAAUCUUUCNCUAAUAGUNCAUGAUCUUGGGCUUCUCUUCAAGCGAACAACGUUGCCCCAAGUGUCCCUAGCAUGAAGCAUUUCAGUAAAGGUCUCUUCCUCAAAAUAUCGGCAAUGUGGUAAGAGAUGCAGGUGUUGACGACCCUCUCACAGGAUACCCCAAUUAUUUUUCUUUCUUUUUUUUUUCUUUCUAUUUUUGUUUUUUUUUUCUUUCUUCUCUUUUUUUUUGUUUCUUUUUGUUUUUUUUUCUUCUUUUGUUCCUUUUUCUAUUUUUUUUUGUUAGCACAUACACAACAAUGGAUACUCAUGAAGGGGACAUUGGGGUAAUUCCUGCAAUGGUGUCUGAUACAUAAUAUUUGCUGCCAAGAGACAUGCCAGUUAAACUUUUCCUCUUCUGAGCUUGCACAGAACUGAGCUCACUCAUUUACCAUUUUCAUCUUUGGUUUAUAUUGCAGUAGUUCACUUAGGGGACAUAUGGCAUUCAAAGUACCCCUACUCAUGCGAAAGAUGAACCACAUAGGGAACACUGGUAAACAACAUAACAUCUUCCUGACCUUUAGCUCAUGACACUUAUUAAGAGUCUCGUAAAUUUUAGUUAGGACACCCAAGAUUGGACUCUCAAAGCAAACUUUUUAUCCUGUAAAUGCACUCAUUGCGGCGUAGUCAACAAAAUUCCUGGUGCUAGGAAAAAGCAUGACACCAUAGUCGAUAAGAGCAAGUACAUUCACUUUCCCUCCUCGGUCAACCAAUGCAAGAACCACCAUAGGUAUCCUUGAGGAAAGUCCCUUGUUGUACCUUUAAGUAUGAAUUCACUCUCCAACUUCAUAGGGGGAACUUUCAUUAUCAUUGCU